AUGCACAAAGUAUAAUAAAGCUCAGUGUUUAUAGCUUUGUGCCCUGUAUAUCUGAUCACCCGCAGUGCUGACACAGAUACAAGCAAAUCAGCAAAGCUGUGAAAACAAUAGAGCCUUAAGCAAUAUCCUCCUUACCUUACAGGCCAUGCCUCAAGAAUCAAGACUCUUACGUACUUACUUACGGCUGCGAUUGUUUGCUUACUUUGUGGGCUGGGACAUUGAGGACCAGGCUGUCUUAGGAAAGAUUUCAUGAUUAAUUGCAAAUCCGUCUUUUCUUAUAUUAUUUUUAACUGCAAGGAGCCAGUCAGUACGGAAAACUUGAAGCCUCUAGUUGCUGUGUUGGUUCGUAGCAGUUAGUGUCACUGAGACGCCUGGAGUCAUUUUCGGCUGGAUAUGCAUCGACUUUAAUGUCUAAUGAACAGCAGAGCGGUUUACAAGAUACGGUCCGACUGAAACGUUGCAAUUGUGUCAGGAGGAAACUUGAG